CGCGUAGGCGGCCUUCUAAGUCGGACGUGAAAUCCCUCGGCUUAACCGAGGAACUGCGUCCGAUACUGAAAGGCUUGAAUCCGGGAGAGGGAUGUGGAAUUCCAGGUGUAGCGGUGAAAUGCGUAGAUAUCUGGAGGAACACCGGUGGCGAAGGCGGCAUCCUGGACCGGCAUUGACGCUGAGGCGCGAAAGCUAGGGGAAGCAAACG
rnacentral:rRNA from 1 species